rnacentral:rRNA from 1 species
AGCUUGCUCCCUGAUGAUUAGCGGCGGACGGGUGAGUAACACGUGGGUAACCUGCCUGUAAGACUGGGAUAACUCCGGGAAACCGGGGCUAAUACCGGAUAACUUUUUUCUUCGCAUGAGGGAGAAUUGAAAGAUGGCUUCGGCUAUCACUUACAGAUGGACCCGCGGCGCAUUAGCUAGUUGGUGAGGUAACGGCUCACCAAGGCGACGAUGCGUAGCCGACUUGAGAGGGUGAUCGGCCACACUGGGACUGAGACACGGCCCAGACUCCUACGGGAGGCAGCAGUAGGGAAUCUUCCGCAAUGGACGAAAGUCUGACGGAGCAACGCCGCGUGAGUGAUGAAGGUUUUCGGAUCGUAAAACUCUGUUGUUAGGGAAGAACAAGUAUCGUUCGAAUAGGGCGGUACCUUGACGGUACCUAACCAGAAAGCCACGGCUAACUACGUGCCAGCAGCCGCGGUAAUACGUAGGUGGCAAGCGUUGUCCGGAAUUAUUGGGCGUAAAGCGCGCGCAGGCGGUUUCUUAAGUCUGAUGUGAAAUCUUGCGGCUCAACCGCAAGCGGCCAUUGGAAACUGGGAGACUUGAGUGCAGAAGAGGAGAGUGGAAUUCCACGUGUAGCGGUGAAAUGCGUAGAGAUGUGGAGGAACACCAGUGGCGAAGGCGACUCUCUGGUCUGUAACUGACGCUGAGGCGCGAAAGCGUGGGGAGCGAACAGGAUUAGAUACCCUGGUAGUCCACGCCGUAAACGAUGAGUGCUAAGUGUUAGAGGGUUUCCGCCCUUUAGUGCUGCAGCUAACGCAUUAAGCACUCCGCCUGGGGAGUACGGCCGCAAGGCUGAAACUCAAAGGAAUUGACGGGGGCCCGCACAAGCGGUGGA